GGGGACGAAAGGAUUCGACAGGAGGGUAGGUAGCCGGGCAGCAGGCCGAGGUUGGCCGUCACCCUCGUAAAACCGGCGGCCGCACAAUAGGCGCCAACGAUCGCCAGCUCGCUCUCGCCGCUUAAGUCGCGGUGAGCGUCCUCGGGAGGUCCCGCCCCGGCGGAGCUCCCAGAGGGCGACGCAAAAGCCGGGGUGCGGCGAACCGACGCCGAUACGGUUCGCCUAAGGCGCAUCGGCUGGCCGGGAGCCGUGGGGCCCACCUCCGAAGGCUUCUGGCGAGACCCGAAACGGUGGGAAAGCCUGUAGAAAGCCCGGAGCCGAACCUCGCUGGACCGGGGGUUCGAUUCCCCCGCGUCUCCACCA
rnacentral:tmRNA from 1 species